GCAAAACUUACAGAAAGCUUGGGUGGACAGCGGAAUGCAGCUCUAAGGGGCUUCAGAAGUUAAAAGGGCAAUGGGAUGUAUGAAGCUUGUGGAUUCACCAUGCCUUAUGCAGCCUAAGCACCAUGUACAGAGCCUCGCAACAGCAGCAAAAAUAUGUAGCAAUUUUGUGGCAGAAUUGAAAGUGGAGGAGGCUGAGACAGACAGCAUGAGGCAUGACAGCCGCUCAAGCUCUUCUAGCUUGUGUAUGGUUUUAUGUGCUUCUAAUUAUCAAUGUGUGGGAGUUUUGUCAAAAAAAGCUGGGCGUGUGGUUCCUUUUGUUCUUCUGUGUCUGUUGUGGUUUAUAUUUUAAAUGGGACACAAAUGUGAUUUAUAGUGCAUGGCAUGAUGUAGUUAGGGAAAAUUGGUCUUUUCCAGGCAACACAAACAUGAGCAGGAGAAAGAGUGCACGUGAACAGUAUGUUCCUCUCAGUGGAGAAGAAACACUCCACUAAGGCUCACAGAGAGUGUAAACAACAUGUGAGAAGUCCUCUUCAAAAAAGGAGAAAAAAGUCAAUGGCUUACUUCCACUGCAUCUAAAAAUACACAUCAUUGAAAGGCAGAGCUGUGAGAGAUCAAAGACAAUAAGCUUUCAGCGGAGUCACCCUGAAGUGUGAAAAACACCAAGAUGGGAUGGAAAGUUCUAUAUACUGACCAGCAAUGCAUGUGUCAUGACAACUGGGUUACCUUCUGGGCCACCCAAUGCUGGGUAAGGCAGCUCAAAAUAAGCCUGCAAGAAGAUUCACAUGAGGUCCUGCCCAGCUCCCUGCAAAAUGUGGAAAAAUUGUUUCCAGGCCCACAAUCUCUUAUCAGCUUGUAAGACAGGAGGACAGAGUAAGGUGAUGGGUCUGAGAAUGUCAUGAUUAAAUUGUGUGAUUUGAGAAAGGUAAAACAUAAGGGGAAUAAGCCUUUUCCUUAUUAAAAAAAAAUCACUGCAUAAACAGAGGUUCUUGUGAUUUACGUUUUCUCCCAAUGGGCUGCUAAUGAAGAACAAUUCAUAUUUGAUUUAGUGAAAAAAAAGGUGUGCAGAAAUAUAUUGGAAGGUUUGAUAUUUAUCCAACUUCUAGCUCCUGUUAUAUAUUCUCAGAACAACUGAAAAAGAAGUUACAAGAAAUCUGAUGGAAACCACUGUUUUUUUGCUUCUCUAAUUAAAUGCUGCAUAAGGUGCAACAGCUGAAGUUCAAGUUUUUAGUACAGAGGGGAUCAUCCCAAGCCAGUUUUUUGGAAAGGACUAGUAUCACCCUACUUCUAAAGACUUUAAACUCCCUCAAAAAUUCCCUGAAAAAGACAUAGUUCAAGCUGCUUAUUUUACUACUGGUAAUUAGGUAAUCAACAACGUAUGAACCUGAAAUGAAACACAGAGAUGGUUUGUCAGAAGAGUG